GGGCCGGUCGUUCAGCCUGGUCUAGGACGUCAGAGCAAGACUCCGUCAAGCUCUUACACAGCGAAGGUCAAGGGUUCGAAUCCCUUCCGGCCCA
rnacentral:tRNA from 1 species